rnacentral:rRNA from 1 species
ACGGGUGAGUAACACGUGAGUAACCUGCCCUUGACUCUGGGAUAAGCCUGGGAAACUGGGUCUAAUACCGGAUAUGACCUUCCAUCGCAUGGUGGUUGGUGGAAAGCUUUUGUGGUUUUGGAUGGACUCGCGGCCUAUCAGCUUGUUGGUGGGGUAAUGGCCUACCAAGGCGACGACGGGUAGCCGGCCUGAGAGGGUGACCGGCCACACUGGGACUGAGACACGGCCCAGACUCCUACGGGAGGCAGCAGUGGGGAAUAUUGCACAAUGGGCGGAAGCCUGAUGCAGCGACGCCGCGUGAGGGAUGACGGCCUUCGGGUUGUAAACCUCUUUCAGUAGGGAAGAAGCGAAAGUGACGGUACCUGCAGAAGAAGCGCCGGCUAACUACGUGCCAGCAGCCGCGGUAAUACGUAGGGCGCAAGCGUUAUCCGGAAUUAUUGGGCGUAAAGAGCUCGUAGGCGGUUUGUCGCGUCUGCCGUGAAAGUCCGGGGCUCAACUCCGGAUCUGCGGUGGGUACGGGCAGACUAGAGUGAUGUAGGGGAGACUGGAAUUCCUGGUGUAGCGGUGAAAUGCGCAGA